rnacentral:rRNA from 1 species
GUGGGGAAUAUUCCGCAAUGGACGAAAGUCUGACGGAGCAACGCCGCGUGAGUGAUGAAGGUUUUCGGACUGUAAAGCUCUGUUGUUUAGGACGAAAGUGCCUGUUGCAAAUAGUUACAGGUAUUGACGGUACUGAACGAGGAAGCCACGGCUAACUACGUGCCAGCAGCCGCGGUAAUACGUAGGUGGCAAGCGUUGUCCGGAAUUAUUGGGCGGAAAGAGCAUGUAGGCGGGAAUCUAAGUCUGUUGUGAAAAUGCGGGGCUCAACCCCGUAUUGCGAUGGAAACUGGGUUUCUUGAGUGCAGGAGAGGAAAGGGGAAUUCCCAGUGUAGCGGUGAAAUGCGUAGAUAUUGGGAGGAACACCAGUGGCGAAGGCGCCUUUCUGGACUGUGUCUGACGCUGAGAUGCGAAAGCCAGGGUAGCGAACGGGAUUAGAAACCCGUGUAGUCC